rnacentral:tRNA from 1 species
GCCUGGGUGGCUCAGUCAGUUGAGCGUCUGACUUCAGCUCAGGUCAUGGUCUCGUGAUUUGUGUGUUCGACCCCCGCGUCGGGCU